rnacentral:rRNA from 1 species
GGAGCAUGUGGUUUAAUUCGAAGCAACGCGCAGAACCUUACCAACCCUGGACAUCCCGUGCUACAUCCAGAGAUGGAUGGUUCCUUUCGGGGACGCGGUGACAGGUGCUGCAUGGCUGUCGUCAGCUCGUGUCGUGAGAUGUUCGCUUAAGUCCGGCAACGAGCGCAACCCACAUCCCUAGUUGCCAGCAGUUCGGCUGGGCACUCUAUGGAAACUGCCCGUGAUAAGCGGGAGGAAGGUGUGGAUGACGUCAAGUCCUCAUGGCCCUUACGGGUUGGGCUACACACGUGCUACAAUGGUGGUGACAGUGGGUUAAUCCCCAAAAACCAUCUCAGUUCGGAUUGGGGUCUGCAACUCGACCCCAUGAAGUCGGAAUCGCUAGUAAUCGCGUAACAGCAUGACGCGGUGAAUACGUUCCCGGGCCUUGUACACACCGCCCGUCACACCAUGGGAGUUGGUUCUACCCGACGACGCUGCGCUAACCUUCGGGGGGCAGGCGGCCACGGUAGGAUCAGCGACUGGGGUGAAGUCGUAAGCAAGUAACC